UACGUAGGGUGCGAGCGUUGUCCGGAAUUACUGGGCGUAAAGAGCUCGUAGGUGGUUUGUCGCGUUGUUCGUGAAAACUCACAACUCAAUUGUGGGCGUGCGGGCGAUACGGGCAGACUGGAGUACUGCAGGGGAGACUGGAAUUCCUGGUGUAGCGGUGGAAUGCGCAGAUAUCAGGAGGAACACCGGUGGCGAAGGCGGAUCUCUGGGCCAUAACUGACGCUGAGGAGCGAAAGCAUGGGGAGCGAACAGG
rnacentral:rRNA from 1 species